GAGCGCACGAGCACGAUUCAUCCGGUGCGUCGCGCGGCGGCUUCCAUCUCCGCGGCCGUGCUGACUCUGCCUCCAUGGCGUCCGUCUAUACCGCGCCCCUCGCGCCGCUGCCCGCCACGGCCGCCUCCUUCCCCUCCUCGUCCUCGUCCUCGCGGCAGCUGGACCCCAACCCUAGCCGAUUCCUCGCCGCGCACCGCGGCCAGCGCCUCCUCCGCGUCCGCCGCCUGGCGGGCGCCGCGCCGACCCGCCGCGCCUCCGACGCCGCCUCGGUGUUCCGGUGCGGCGCGCGCAGCUCCGGCGCGGACCCCGGCGGCGAGCCACGCCGAGGCUGGGACGCUCUCUUCCACGAUGCCCUCCAGGGCGCCGUGCGGCGGUGGAGCGAGUACGUCGGGAAUUACUGGCCCUCCGCACACCCCUCGAAGGAGGCGGGUCUCGCGAAGGGAGCGGAGAGUUCUCACGAACUGGAGGAGAGAGGGCAGGGAGUGGAGGAAGACGGUGAGGAGGUGGACGUGGUGCAGGAAGCAGGGAAGUGGAGCUGGGAGAGGUGGAAGCAGCACUUCGCCCUCAUUCAGGAGAGCGAGCGCCUUGUUGAUGAACUGCAGCUACAACUCCGCACUGCUGUGUGUAGAGAAGACUAUAGGAGUGCCCACAAACUGAAGUUAGCUAUUGCUGCUACAUCAAGAAAUGAUACUGUCGGCAGAGCAAUAUCUGAGUUACAUAGGGCCAUAGAAGAGGAGCGCUAUGUGGAUGCAGCUUAUAUUAGAGACCAAGCUGGUGCAGGACUGUUGGGAUGGUGGUCUGGGAUUUCUGGAAGUUUGUCUGAUCCAUAUGGUCUUAUAAUCCGUAUAAGCGCUGAACAUGGUCGAUACGUGGCAAAAAGUUAUGAUAUCAGGCAGCUGGCUUCAGAUGGCCAUGGUUACCCUAUAUUCGAAAUUUAUUUUGCAGAGGCAAAUGGAGGAUACAACCUGCAGGCAGUGCAUCUGAAACCAGAUGUCAGUGAUUCGGACCAGUUGCGAAACAUGUUGAGUGGAAAACUAGAUGUCAACAAUAUAAACAUAUCUAGCAAUUCCUUAGGUGCUAAACACGAGGAACACGAUGAAGGCAUAAACAUGGACGAUCAAAAUAGCGAUGAUAGUGAUGUUGCUGCUGGUCCAGCUGGUUUGAAAAACCUGUCAAAUGAUUCAACUCCAAUUCCCAGGAUCAAAAUAUUGAAGGUAGCGCCUAUGGAAAACAUCAACCAGGACUAUAUAAUUAAAAUAUUUGAUCAGAUUUCAGAGGAAGAUGAUGACAAUGAUGAAGCUGAGAUCGAAAAUGAAUCUUCACAAGAUAUUGGCGAUGAAGAUAACAAUGAAGAAGCAGGAACAAUUUCUGCAGAAGAGAAUAAUGAUGAGUCUGGUGAGGAAAGUGAUAUUGAAGCAUUGUUAUCGAUUGGAAUUGAAGUUGAUAAUGAUAAGGAUUUUGCUUCACAGUCCUCACCUAAAACGUUUGAACGCAUGCCAGCUAAAUUAGACAAGAGAGACCGCUUUUCAUUUACCUUCUAUACUGAACAAUCCAGUAAAAAGCCAGCUGCAGAAAAGGCUCAGCAGAUUCCGAGGAAGCGGGUUGGCUUCCGUACCACUGAGCAGGAUGGUGAUCUCAAGUUUGAUCGUGUAAAGUUGUCUGGGGGCAAUAGGAAACUACCGAUACUACAACUUGGUAUUAAGCAACUUAAUAACAAGGUUCAGCCAAAACUAUAUGGAGUUACCCACUUCAGCCGUAUUCAGAUGCCCAUCUCUUCAGAUCCUCUUAGUGGUCUAUAUGAGACUGCAUCUGGGUUUGACUCAGAAGUUCUUAGUUUACAACGGAAAUUUGGUCAAUGGCAGGAGGAUGAUUCAUCUGAGGAGCACUCGGAUCUUAAGUUUUAUGAGUAUGUCGAAGCUGCAAAAUUGACUGGGGACAAUCUUGUGCCAGCGGGUCAGGUUGUCUUCCGUGCAAAAGUUGGCAAACACUAUCAGCUUCCUCAUAAGGGGGUCAUCCCUAGAGAACUUGGAGUGGUUGCUAGGUAUAAGGGGCAAAGGAGGAUUGCAGAUGCUGGCUUCAAAAAUCCUCGAUGGGUUGACGGCGAGCUUUUGAUACUAGAUGGAAAGUUCAUCAGAGAUGGUCCUGUGAUAGCUUUCUUCUACUGGACAUCAAAUCUCCAUCUUUUUGAAUUCUUUAGGCGGUUGAGUCUUCCUGACUAGUUUCAUUUGAAGAGACGCAGUUCAAGGACAUUCUGCAAUCACACAUGCUGACGUACAGUUGACGGAGGUGAUGUACAUACAAUUGGGCUCUCGCCGAGCAUCACAUUUUCCAUAUACGGGGAUCGUGGCGAAGAUGGCCCCACAGUAUGGUGGAUGAGAGGGUGAAGAAAUUUAUGACCAGAGAAAUAGCUCGAAUAGCCCACUGCCAACUUGAAUGGUGAGCAUUUCUCAUUCCACUUCUCUCAGCUGACCCACCCAAUUUACGAGUUGAGGCCAAAGACUUGCUGCAUUAGAAAGAGCCACCUUAUUUUGACCAGUCGAAUUGAAAUAUGUUAAAAAGAAAGUGAUGAGUGGGUUUUCAUUUUUGUCCUCCUCUUGGCAUUCUUCAUACAGGAACCCUUUUGUGAAAUAUAAGCAACAAUUGUGUGCAGAUUGUCAUGUGGUGUAACUAAGGUCACUAUUAUUGGUUCCAGAAAAGUGGAGCGGAGCAUUAAACUGGUGUAUGUGUAUAAAGUUUGGUGCCCACGUAUUCAAGUAUGUUAACUACGUGCA
rnacentral:rRNA from 1 species